GAGGUACUCCGCUGUCCGAGUUUGGGCAAAGAGUAGUGUUAGUAGCCACUUGAGUUUGUGACUCCAAGUACCCGCAAGCGGGUUACCAACGAUGACACACUCAGGCAAUUGAUAAAUAUUCAAGCACAAAAAAAAAAAAAAAAUAAAUAAAUAAAUAAAAGUUCAGCAUUAUUUGUUUUGUGUGUGAUUGCAAUGAUUUUCUGUGACCAAGCUGUUUAACAAAUAAUUCUUUAAGCAAUGGUUUAAUUGAUAUGGAAUUUAAAUUGCAUGUUUAAAAUUACAAAGUUCAAGCCAGGUCUAUUAUGUUUGAAAGAAUGUGAAUUCAAUUCUUUAUUCUCCAUAGAUUUCAGAUUUGAAUAUUCAACUCAGCUUUACUUUUGUAAUUAAGGUUGCUUUUCUAAAGAUGUUCUUAUAAGAGUUGUGAAGAGUUGGGUGAAUUUCCUUUUAUGUAGAUUGAGUUUUUCCUUGAGGACAAGCAAAUAUUAAGUGUGGGGGAAUUUGAUGG
rnacentral:lncRNA from 1 species